rnacentral:rRNA from 1 species
GCUAUAAUGCAGUCGAGCGGACCGACGGGAGCUUGCUCCCUUAGGUCAGCGGCGGACGGGUGAGUAACACGUGGGUAACCUGCCUGUAAGACUGGGAUAACUCCGGGAAACCGGGGCUAAUACCGGAUGCUUGAUUGAACCGCAUGGUUCAAUCAUAAAAGGUGGCUUUUAGCUACCACUUGCAGAUGGACCCGCGGCGCAUUAGCUAGUUGGUGAGGUAACGGCUCACCAAGGCGACGAUGCGUAGCCGACCUGAGAGGGUGAUCGGCCACACUGGGACUGAGACACGGCCCAGACUCCUACGGGAGGCAGCAGUAGGGAAUCUUCCGCAAUGGACGAAAGUCUGACGGAGCAACGCCGCGUGAGUGAUGAAGGUUUUCGGAUCGUAAAACUCUGUUGUUAGGGAAGAACAAGUACCGUUCGAAUAGGGCGGCACCUUGACGGUACCUAACCAGAAAGCCACGGCUAACUACGUGCCAGCAGCCGCGGUAAUACGUAGGUGGCAAGCGUUGUCCGGAAUUAUUGGGCGUAAAGCGCGCGCAGGCGGUUUCUUAAGUCUGAUGUGAAAGCCCCCGGCUCAACCGGGGAGGGUCAUUGGAAACUGGGGAACUUGAGUGCAGAAGAGGAGAGUGGAAUUCCACGUGUAGCGGUGAAAUGCGUAGAGAUGUGGGAGGAACACCCAGUGGGCGGAGGCGACUCUCUGGUCUGUAACUGACGCUGAAGGCGCGAAAGCGUGGGGAGCGAACAGG